CAGGUAAAAGCCAAAAAAGAGGCGCUUGUUUGUUAAUCAAGUUAUUGUGUUAGGUGAGCACUUACUUGG
rnacentral:tRNA from 1 species